CAUGAAGAAGUGGAGGCGGGGGAACGGAAUCAAGUUGACUGCCAACUUACGGAGGUCAGAGUUUAGCUGACCAGGAAACCGGAGGCAGCACGUGAUUCCACUCAUGGUAGCAGAGAUGAGGUGAUUCAGAUCACCGAAAGUAGGGGUAGCAAGCUUCAGAGUGCGAAAACAGAUAUCGUAAAGAGCUUCAUUGUCGAGGACCAUGCAUUCAUCAGCGUUCUCGACAAGCUGAUGCACGGAUAAGGUUGCAU
rnacentral:misc_RNA from 1 species